GUGCCAGCCGCCGCGGUAAUACGUAUGGUGCGAACGUUGUUCGGAAUCACUGGGCUUAAAGAGCACGUAGGCGGUCAAGCAAGUCUGAUGUGAAAUCCCUCGGCUUAACUGAGGAAUGGCAUCAGAAACUGCUUGGCUAGAGUGUAGGAGGGGAGAGUGGAAUUCCUGGUGGAGCGGUGAAAUGCGUAGAUAUCAGGAGGAACGCCGGUGGCGAAAGCGACUCUCUGGCCUACAACUGACGCUGAGGUGCGAAAGCUAGGGGAGCAAACGGGAUUAGAUACCCCGGUAGUCCUAGCCCUAAACGAUGGGCACUAAGUAGAGGGAAUCCGAUAUUCUCUCUGCCGGAGCAAAAGUGUUAAGUGCCCCGCCUGGGGAGUAUGGUCGCAAGGCUGAAACUCAAAUGAAUUGACGG
rnacentral:rRNA from 1 species